rnacentral:rRNA from 1 species
UAGGGAAUCUUCGGCAAUGGACGGAAGNUUGGACCGAGCAACCNCACGUGAGUGAAGAAGGUUUUCGGAUCGUAAAGCUCUGUUGUAAGAGAAGAACGAGUGUGAGAGUGGAAAGUUCACACUGUGACGGUAUCUUACCAGAAAGGGACGGCUAACUACGUGCCAGCAGCCGCGGUAAUACGUAGGUCCCGAGCGUUGUCCGGAUUUAUUGGGCGUAAAGCGAGCGCAGGCGGUUAGAUAAGUCUGAAGUUAAAGGCUGUGGCUUAACCAUAGUAGGCUUUGGAAACUGUUUAACUUGAGUGCAAGAGGGGAGAGUGGAAUUCCAUGUGUAGCGGUGAAAUGCGUAGAUAUAUGGAGGAACACCGGUGGCGAAAGCGGCUCUCUGGCUUGUAACUGACGCUGAGGCUCGAAAGCGUGGGGAGCAAACAGGAUUAGAUACCCUGGUAGUCCACGCUGUAAACGAUGAGUGCUAGGUGUUAGACCCUUUCCGGGGUUUAGUGCCGUAGCUAACGCAUUAAGCACUCCGCCUGGGGAGUACGACCGCAAGNUG